rnacentral:rRNA from 1 species
UGAGGGAGGAAGGCUCUUGGGUCGUAAACCUCUUUUAUCAGGGAAGAACACAAUGACGUACCUGAUGAAUCAGCAUCGGCUAACUCCGUGCCAGCAGCCGCGGUAAUACGGAGGAUGCAAGCGUUAUCCGGAAUUAUUGGGCGUAAAGCGUCCGCAGGUGGUUUUGAAAGUUUGCUGUUAAAUCGCGAGGCUCAACUUCGUAACGGCGGUGAAAACUUCAAGACUAGAGUUUGGUAGGGGUCACGGGAAUUCCCAGUGUAGCGGUGAAAUGCGUAGAUAUUGGGAAGAACACCAGCGGCGAAAGCGCGUGACUGGGCCUGAACUGACACUCAUGGACGAAAGCUAGGGGAGCGAAAGGGAUUAGAUACCCCUGUAGUCCUAGCCGUAAACGAUGACAACUAGGUGUUGCCCGUAUCGACCCGGGCAGUGCCGUAGCCAACGCGUUAAGUUGUCCGCCUGGGGAGUACGCACGCAAGUGUGAAACUCAAAGGAAUUGACGGGGGCCCGCACAAGCGGUGGAGUAUGUGGUUUAAUUCGAUGCAACGCGAAGAACCUUACCAAGGCUUGACAUGUGCAGAAUCCUCUUGAAAGGGAGGAGUGCCUUCGGGAGCUGCAACACAGGUGGUGCAUGGCUGUCGUCAGCUCGUGUCGUGAGAUGUUGGGUUAAGUCCCGCAACGAGCGCAACCCUCGUUUCUAGUUGCCAUCAUUAAGUUGGGCACUUUAGAGAGACUGCCGGUGACAAACCGGAGGAAGGUGGGGAUGACGUCAAGUCAGCAUGCCCCUUACGCCUUGGGCUACACACGUACUACAAUGCUACGGACAAAGAGCCGCAAGUUCGCGAGGACAAGCAAAUCUCAUAAACCGUGGCUCAGUUCAGAUUGCAGGCUGCAACUCGCCUGCAUGAAGGCGGAAUCGCUAGUAAUCGCAGGUCAGCAUACUGCGGUGAAUACGUUCCCGGGCCUUGUACACACCGCCCGUCACACCAUGGGAGUUGGCCACGCCCGAAGUCGUUACUCCAACCGUUCGCGGAGGAGGAUGCCGAAGGCAGGGCUGAUGACUGGGGUGAAGUCGUAACAAGGUAGCCGUACCGGAAGGUGUGGCUGGAUCACCUC